UACGUAGGUGGCGAGCGUUGUCUGGAAUUAUUGGGCGUAAAGAGCUCGUAGGCGGCUUGUCACGUCGGAUGUGAAAGCCCGAGGCUUAACCUCGGGUCUGCAUUCGAUACGGGCUAGCUAGAGUGUGGUAGGGGAGAUCGGAAUUCCUGGUGUAGCGGUGAAAUGCGCAGAUAUCAGGAGGAACACCGGUGGCGAAGGCGGAUCUCUGGGCCAUUACUGACGCUGAGGAGCGAAAGCGUGGGGAGCGAACAGG
rnacentral:rRNA from 1 species